rnacentral:rRNA from 1 species
AUUAAACGCUGGCGGCAUGCCUUACACAUGCAAGUCGAACGGCAGCACGGGGGCAACCCUGGUGGCGAGUGGCGGACGGGUGAGUAAAGCAUCGGAACGUAUCCUGGAGUGGGGGAUAACGUAGCGAAAGUUACGCUAAUACCGCAUAUUCUGUGAGCAGGAAAGCAGGGGAUCGCAAGACCUUGCGCUCUGGGAGCGGCCGAUGUCGGAUUAGCUAGUUGGUGGGGUAAAGGCCUACCAAGGCGACGAUCCGUAGCGGGUCUGAGAGGAUGAUCCGCCACACUGGGACUGAGACACGGCCCAGACUCCUACGGGAGGCAGCAGUGGGGAAUUUUGGACAAUGGGCGCAAGCCUGAUCCAGCCAUGCCGCGUGAGUGAAGAAGGCCUUCGG